rnacentral:rRNA from 1 species
UACGAAGGGGGCUAGCGUUGCUCGGAAUCACUGGGCGUAAAGGGUGCGUAGGCGGGUUUUUAAGUCAGGGGUGAAAUCCUGGAGCUCAACUCCAGAACUGCCUUUGAUACUGAAGAUCUUGAGUCCGGGAGAGGUGAGUGGAACUGCGAGUGUAGAGGUGAAAUUCGUAGAUAUUCGCAAGAACACCAGUGGCGAAGGCGGCUCACUGGCCCGAUACUGACGCUGAGGUGCGAAAGCGUGGGAGCAAACAGG